GACGAACGCUGGCGGCGUGCCUAAUACAUGCAAGUUGAGCGCUGAAGGUUGGUACUUGUACCAACUGGAUGAGCAGCGAACGGGUGAGUAACGCGUGGGGAAUCUGCCUUUGAGCGGGGGACAACAUUUGGAAACGAAUGCUAAUACCGCAUAAAAACUUUAAACACAAGUUUUAAGUUUGAAAGAUGCAAUUGCAUCACUCAAAGAUGAUCCCGCGUUGUAUUAGCUAGUUGGCGAGGUAAAGGCUCACCAAGGCGAUGAUACAUAGCCGACCUGAGAGGGUGAUCGGCCACAUUGGGACUGAGACACGGCCCAAACUCCUACGGGAGGCAGCAGUAGGGAAUCUUCGGCAAUGGACGAAAGUCUGACCGAGCAACGCCGCGUGAGUGAAGAAGGUUUUCGGAUCGUAAAACUCUGUUGGUAGAGAAGAACGUUGGUGAGAGUGGAAAGCUCAUCAAGUGACGGUGACUACCCAGAAAGGGACGGCUAACUACGUG
rnacentral:rRNA from 1 species